rnacentral:rRNA from 1 species
UGAGUGGCGAACGGGUGAGUAACACGUGAGUAACCUGCCCCCUUCUUUGGGAUAACGCCCGGAAACGGGUGCUAAUACUGGAUAUUCACUGGCCUUCGCAUGGGGGUUUGUGGAAAGGUUUUUUCUGGUGGGGGAUGGGCUCGCGGCCUAUCAGCUUGCUGGUGGGGUGAUGGCCUACCAAGGCUUUGACGGGUAGCCGGCCUGAGAGGGUGACCGGUCACAUUGGGACUGAGAUACGGCCCAG